AAGUUUAGGUUAACCAAACCAGGGGCCUUCAAAGCCCCAAACAAGAGCAUCCAGCCCUCCUAACUUCU
rnacentral:tRNA from 1 species